UACGUAGGGUGCAAGCGUUGUCCGGAAUUAUUGGGCGUAAAGAGCUCGUAGGUGGUCUGUCGCGUCGGCUGUGAAAACUCAGGGCUUAACCCUGAGCUUGCAGUGGGUACGGGCAGACUAGAGUGCGGUAGGGGAGACUGGAAUUCCUGGUGUAGCGGUGAAAUGCGCAGAUAUCAGGAGGAACACCGGUGGCGAAGGCGGGUCUCUGGGCCGUAACUGACGCUGAGGAGCGAAAGCAUGGGGAGCGAACAGG
rnacentral:rRNA from 1 species